rnacentral:rRNA from 1 species
GAUUGAACGCUGGCGGCAUGCUUUACACAUGCAGGUCGAACGGUAACAGGCCGCAAGGUGCUGACGAGUGGCGAACGGGUGAGUAAUGCAUCGGAACGUGCCCAGUCGUGGGGGAUAACUACUCGAAAGAGUAGCUAAUACCGCAUACGAUCUAUGGAUGAAAGCGGGGGACCGUAAGGCCUCGCGCGAUUGGAGCGGCCGAUGUCAGAUUAGGUAGUUGGUGGGGUAAAGGCUCACCAAGCCAACGAUCUGUAGCUGGUCUGAGAGGACGACCAGCCACACUGGGACUGAGACACGGCCCAGACUCCUACGGGAGGCAGCAGUGGGGAAUUUUGGACAAUGGGCGCAAGCCUGAUCCAGCGAUGCCGCGUGCAGGAAGAAGGCCUUCGGGUUGUAAACUGCUUUUGUACGGAACGAAACGGCUCUGGUUAAUACCCGGGGCUAAUGACGGUACCGUAAGAAUAAGCACCGGCUAACUACGUG